UACGAAGGGGGCUAGCGUUGCUCGGAAUCACUGGGCGUAAAGGGCGCGUAGGCGGCCAUUCAAGUCGGGGGUGAAAGCCUGUGGCUCAACCACAGAAUUGCCUUCGAUACUGUUUGGCUUGAGUUUGGUAGAGGUUGGUGGAACUGCGAGUGUAGAGGUGAAAUUCGUAGAUAUUCGCAAGAACACCAGUGGCGAAGGCGGCCAACUGGACCAACGCUGACGCUGAGGCGCGAAAGCGUGGGGAGCAGACAGG
rnacentral:rRNA from 1 species